CCUACGGGCGGCAGCAGUGAGGAAUAUUGGUCAAUGGGCGCGAGCCUGAACCAGCCAAGUAGCGUGAAGGAUGACUGCCCUACGGGUUGUAAACUUCUUUUAUAAAGGAAUAAAGUGAGGCACGUGUGCCUUUUUGUAUGUAUUUUAUGAAUAAGGAUCGGCUAACUCCGUUCCAGCAGCCGCGGUAAUACGGAGGAUCCGAGCGUUAUCCGGAUUUAUUGGGUUUAAAGGGAGCGUAGAUGGGUUGUUUAGUCAGUUGUGAAAGUUUGCGGCUCAACCGUAAAAUUGCAAUUGAUACUGGCAAACUGGAGUGUGUGAGAGGAUAGUGGAAUUCCAGGUGUAGGAGUGAAAUCCGUAGAUAUCUGGAAGAACAUCAGUGGCGAAGGCGACUAUCUGGCACAUAACUGACGCUGAGGAGCGAAAGCGUGGGUAGCAAACAGGAUUAGAUACCCUUGUAGUC
rnacentral:rRNA from 1 species